rnacentral:tRNA from 1 species
GGAAAUGUGCCUGAAUCAAAGGACUAUUUUGAUAGAAUAGAUCAUAGGAAAAACACUUCCUCAUUUCCC